rnacentral:rRNA from 1 species
GUUCCUGUCCAACGUUAAUCGGGGCAGGGUGAGUCGACCCCUAAGGCGAGGCCGAAAGGCGUAGUCGAUGGGAAACAGGUUAAUAUUCCUGUACUUGGUGUUACUGCGAAGGGGGGACGGAGAAGGCUAUGUUGGCCGGGCGACGGUUGUCCCGGUUUAAGCGUGUAGGCUGGUUUUCCAGGCAAAUCCGGAAAACUAAGGCUGAGGCGUGAUGACGAGGCACUACGGUGCUGAAGCAACAAAUGCCCUGCUUCCAGGAAAAGCCUCUAAGCAUCAGGUAACAUCAAAUCGUACCCCAAACCGACACAGGUGGUCAGGUAGAGAAUACCAAGGCGCUUGAGAGAACUCGGGUGAAGGAACUAGGCAAAAUGGUGCCGUAACUUCGGGAGAAGGCACGCUGAUACGUAGGUGAAGUCCCUUGCGGAUGGAGCUGAAAUCAGUCGAAGAUACCAGCUGGCUGCAACUGUUUAUUAAAAACACAGCACUGUGCAAACACGAAAGUGGACGUAUACGGUGUGACG